rnacentral:rRNA from 1 species
CCUACGGGGUGCAGCAGUGAGGAAUAUUGGUCAAUGGACGAGAGUCUGAACCAGCCAAGUAGCGUGAAGGAUGACUGCCCUAUGGGUUGUAAACUUCUUUUAUAUGGGAAUAAAAUGUUCCACGUGUGGGAUUUUGUAUGUACCAUAUGAAUAAGGAUCGGCUAACUCAGUGCCAGCAGCCGCGGUAAUACGGAGGAUCCGAGCGUUAUGCGGAUUUAGUGGGUUUAAAGGGAGCGUAGGUGGAUUGUUAAGUCAGUUGUGAAAGUUUGCGGCUCAACCGUAAAAUUGCAGUUGAAACUGGCAGUCUUGAGUAUAGUAGAGGUGGGUGGAAUUCGUGGUGUAGCGGUGAAAUGCUUAGAUAUCACGAAGAACUCCGAUUGCGAAGGCAGUUCACUGGACUGCAACUGACACUGAGGAUCGAAAGUGUGGGUAUCAAACAGGAUUAGAUACCCUGGUAGUC